UCAAGCUAGAAAGAGCGCAAGGGGAAUGCCUUGGCAUCAGGAGCCGACGAAGGACGUGACAAGCUGCGAUAAGCUGCGGUGAGCUGCACAUAAGCUUUGACCCGCAGAUUUCCGAAUGGGGAAACCCGGCAGAGCAAUACUCUGUCAGCGUGCGUUGAAUCAAAUAGGCGUACGCGGGGAACCGCCUGAACUGAAACAUCUAAGUAGGGCGAGGAAGAGAAAUCAACCGAGAUUCCGCUAGUAGUGGCGAGCGAACGCGGAAGAGGCCAAACCGGAGGUAGCAAUAUUUCCGGGGUUAGGACUGCAAUAUGUAGCUUUAAUCUUUAACUGAAUGCUUUGGGAAGAGCAGCGAUACAGGGUGAUAGCCCCGUAAGUGAAAAGGAUUGAGUGCUAGCAGUAUCCAGAGUACCAGCGGACACGUGAAACCCGCUGGGAAGAUGGGGGGACCAUCCUCCAAGCCUAAAUACUACUCAGUGACCGAUAGUGGAGCAGUACCGUGAGGGAAAGGUGAAAAGUACCCCGGGAGGGGAGUGAAAAAGAACCUGAAACCUUGUGCCUACAAGCACCGAGAGCACGUUAAAGUGUGAUCGGGUACUUUUUGUAGAACGGUCCGGCGAGUUAAUAUUUGCAGCGAGGUUAAGGAACUGGAGUUCCGGAGCCGCAGCGAGAGCGAGUCUGAAAAGGGCGUAUGAAGUUGCAGGUAUUAGACCCGAAACCGGGUGACCUAUCCAUGAGCAGGCUGAAGCGGUGGUAAGACACCGUGGAGGGCCGCACCCACGUCUGUUGAAAAAGCCGGGGAUGACUUGUGGAUAGCGGAGAAAUUCCAAUCGAACUCGGAGAUAGCUGGUUCUCCCCGAAAUAGCUUUAGGGCUAGCGUUAUUUUAGAUUACCGGAGGUAAAGCACUGAAUGGUCUAGGGGCCGCGAGGUUACCAAAGCCUAUCAAACUCUGAAUGCCGGAUAAUUGAUGAAUAGCAGUCAGACUGUGUGAGAUAAGUCUCAUAGUCAAAAGGGAAACAGCCCAGAUCUACAGCUAAGGUCCCAAAUGAACACUAAGUGGAAAAUGAUGUGAAACUGCGAAGACAACCAGGAUGUUGGCUUAGAAGCAGCCACUCAUUCAAAGAGUGCGUAAUAGCUCACUGGUCGAGUGGUUUUGCGCAGAAAAUGUAACGGGGCUAAGUGUUCAACCGAAGCUUAGGCAUUGCAGUAAUGCAUUGGGUAGGGGAGCGUCGUAUGCGGGGUGAAGUCAGAGCGGAAGCACUGGUGGACUGCAUACGAGUGAGAAUGCCGGAAUAAGUAGCGAGAAUUAUGUGAGAAUCAUAAUGGCCGAAAAUCUAAGGUUUCUUGGGGAAGGUUCGUCCGCCCAAGGUUAGUCGGGAGCUAAGCUCAGGCCGAAAGGCGUAGGCGAUGCACAUACGGUAGAAAUUCCGUAACCACCGAACAUUUAAGCUAGAGGGACGCUUUCUUUAAGGUUAUCCCGGGCGAUGGUUGCCCCGGGCGUAAGGGACCGAAAUAUAGUAGGGAAGUAACUGGCGAGAGAGACGAGAAAAGCUCUAGUGUAUACUAAGGUGCCCGUACCGCAAACCGACACAGGUAGAUGGGAUGAGUAUUCUAAGGCCAACGGGAGAAGGGUUGUUAAGGAACUCGGCAAAUUGGCCCCGUAACUUCGGGAUAAGGGGCGCCUGCGAGAGCAGGCCGCAGUGAAAAGGCCCAAGCGACUGUUUAGCAAAAACACAGCUCUCUGCUAAAUCGAAAGAUGACGUAUAGGGGGUGACGCCUGCCCGGUGCUGGAAGGUUAAGGGGAGUGCUUAGCGCAAGCGAAGGUGCGAACUUAAGCCCCAGUAAACGGCGGCCGUAACUAUAACGGUCCUAAGGUAGCGAAAUUCCUUGUCAGGUAAGUUCUGACCCGC
rnacentral:rRNA from 1 species